rnacentral:rRNA from 1 species
GACGAACGCUGGCGGCGUGCUUAACACAUGCAAGUCGAGCGGAAAGGCCACUUCGGUGGUACUCGAGCGGCGAACGGGUGAGUAACACGUGAGUAAUCUGCCCCUGGCUUUGGGAUAGCCACCGGAAACGGUGAUUAAUACCGGAUAUGACCACGUCUCGCAUGGGGUGUGGUGGAAAGUUUUUCGGCCAGGGAUGUGCUCGCGGCCUAUCAGCUUGAUGGUGAGGUAAUGGCUCACCAUGGCUUCGACGGGUAGCCGGCCUGGGAGGGUGACCGGUCACACUGGGACUGGGACACGGCCCAGACUCCGACGGGAGGCAGCAGUGGGGAAUAGUGGACAAUGGGCGGAAGCCUGAUCCAGCAACGCCGCGUGAGGGAUGACGGCCUUCGGGUUGUAAACCUCUUUCAGUACCGACGAAGCGCAAGUGACGGUAGGUACAGAAGAAGCACCGGCCAACUACGUGCCAGCAGCCGCGGUAAGAC